ensembl:lncRNA
UCCUUGCCCUCAAAUCAUAUUUAUUUGGGAAUAUCGUCAUAAGAAAUACGGACAAAUACAGCAGAAUAAAAACACACAGUUUUAGAUUGCCUUGUUGAAAAUUAAAUAAAAAAAUACUGUCAGAUCAUAACCCAUAACAAUAUUACAUAAUAUAUCUGUCAGAUAUCUCAAGAUAAAAAUACAAAAUAAGACUCUUGAGGGCUAAUCUAUAGCUACAGCUCCUCAGUGUGCUCAAUGCAGGGGUACAUGCCCAUAAUGCUGUGGGAGAGAUGCAUAUACAAACACCAUUUUUUAUGGCCCCAUGCAGUGUUUUGGUAGCGCAGCCUUACAGAUUUCAAAGAUAAACUGUUGUUCAGGGAGAGGCCCUCUCAAGAGGCGUUUCUGCCACCUGAACGUGAAUUUCACCCAAGGUCAAAGCCUUAAUUAACACAUGUUGGCAAUAUCAGCCUUCUCCACCAGAGAAAAUUCCUCCUCAUCCAAACAACAUGCUAAGCUUUGGGUCACGUCCAGGUAAAGUCUUGCUAAGAACAAAGGAAGAAAGAAAGAGAAUCAGCUGGCAUUAAAGAAAAACUAAGGACUUUUCUUCUUGUAUUUCAGCAACAUCUACCACAGUGAUUAAAACUGAAUACAAAUGAGCAAAUAGGAUUAUUUAUACACAAAUUACAUUUCUAUAUUAAUGAAUGAGUUCUGCAGGCAAUGAGUACCUCCUGUGAGAUCAGGAGCUCCUAGUUUCUGCAGUGGGAGAUCUUGGUGACAGCUAUGAUAACAGGACACUGAAGGCCCCACAGGAUGCUCCGAGUACUCUGCAGAAUCUGUUAUAAAUUCUGCUUGUAUUUCCAGGAGAAAAUCUUGCAGAGUAUAUAAAUCAUGAUGGGACAGAGACACAGAAAAAGAAGUCAAGUUCAGCUAUCGUAAAAGUCUGAAAUUCAAAAUACUAUAAAAAUGUUAAAUUCUGAUUGCUCCAGACUUUCAGUCUCAGUGAACAUUAAAUUACAAUGUUGAAGACCACUCUGUAACAGAUACCUAACUGGCCUAGUUUUUUAAGAUAUCAGUCAUCUUUUGUUCUUUUCAAAUUUGGUGGGAACUGCAGAUGCUAAGCAUACCUGAAAUAAGGUCCCAAAUUCUCAGAUCAUAAACAAGAAGAUUUUCCACUGCCACAGCAUAUACAAUUUACAAUUAAAAAGAAGUCUGCGAUGACCAUUAUGUUUCUUCUCUUGUCAUAAUGACAAGAAGAAGCCAUAAGAUGGUUUACAUUUUAUUGAAGGGGGGGGGGGGGGGCGGAAAAAGAGUCCAACGUUCCCCAAAAGGAUGCAAGGUGCAUGGAGUGGUCCAGGCUACUAAUGAUUUGCUCAGACACUAGCAGAGAAUAUAUAAAUUCUUAACUCUUAGCAAAAAAUAUUGAUUGCAUUAUAACAUAUAUGAUACAAUUUCAUUUGUUAACAUUUCAUUCGUUAACUGCACUGUACAGAAUUUGUCCAUGCUAAAUACAAGCCCUGGACCAGAUACACAAAACAAUUUAAAUGCACUUUUUACAUCCUAUAUGCACAACCAUUUCUUAAGUUAAAACUAUGCACACUACUUAUACAUAGUGUGUAUAUGGCUUACAUAUUCAAUGACAGGAAUUCCACCUUUUGGCAUGCCCUUACCGCAGGGCUUGGAGCUUGCACUGUCCACAGCUCAAUUUCUCCACUGUCAGGAAGGAGACAGUCACCAGGUGUGGAUGUGUAAGGAUCCCUCAGUCUAGGGUGAUCCCUCAGUCUAGGUUUUACGAUUCCUUCUUCGAUCGGGACAAAGUGUGCCCCUGUUGAGGUUGAGCCUGAUGCCUGUUGAGCUCUGGUAAGAUCCCUGAAGCAGCAGAUGAAUAGCACAUAGGUCUCAAUCCUUCAUCAGCCUCUGCAAAGAGGGGAAUGUCACCAUCCCCAUGAGUCCUCUUC